rnacentral:rRNA from 1 species
UACGUAGGGUGCGAGCGUUGUCCGGAAUUAUUGGGCGUAAAGAGCUCGUAGGCGGUGUGUCACGUCGUUCGUGAAAACCUGCAGCUUAACUGUGGGCGUGCGGUCGAUACGGGCAUCACUGGAGUUCGGCAGGGGAGACUGGAAUUCCUGGUGUAGCGGUGAAAUGCGCAGAUAUCAGGAAGAACACCGGCGGCGAAGGCGGCCACCUGGACGAUGACUGACGCUGAGACGCGAAAGCGUGGGGAGCAAACAGG